UACCAGCACCCCGAGUGGUCGGGACGAUUAUUGGGCCUAAAGCGUCCGUAGCCGGUUUUACAAGUCCCCCGUUAAAUCCACCUGCUUAACAGAUGGGCUGCGGAGGAUACUAUAGAGCUAGGAGGCGGGAGAGGCAAGCGGUACUUAGUGGGUAGGGGUAAAAUCCGUUGAUCCAUUGAAGACCACCAGUGGCGAAGGCGGCUUGCCAGAACGCACUCGACGGUGAGGGAUGAAAGCUGGGGGAGCAAACCGG
rnacentral:rRNA from 1 species